UAAAACCAGCACCUCAAGUGGUCAGGAGGAUUAUUGGGCCUAAAGCAUCCGUAGCCUGCUCUGUAAGUUUCCGGUUAAAUCCAUUAGCUCAACUAAUGGCCUACCGGAAAUACUGCAGAGCUAGGAAGUGGGAGAGGUAGACGGUACUCGGUAGGAAGGGGUAAAAUCCUUUGAUCUAUUGAUGACCACCUGUGGCGAAGGCGGUCUACCAGAACACGUUCGACGGUGAGGGAUGAAAGCUGGGGGAGCAAACCGGAUUAGAUACCCGGGUAGUCCCAGCUGUAAACGAUGCAGACUCGGUGAUGCCCUGGCUUGUGGCCAGUGCAGUGCCGCAGGGAAGCCGUUAAGUUUGCCGCCUGGGAAGUACGUACGCAAGUAUG
rnacentral:rRNA from 2 species